UACGUAGGGUGCAAGCGUUGUCCGGAAUUAUUGGGCGUAAAGAGCUCGUAGGCGGUCUGUCGCGUCUGCUGUGAAAAUCCAGGGCUCAACCCUGGACCUGCAGUGGGUACGGGCAGACUAGAGUGCGGUAGGGGAGAUCGGAAUUCCUGGUGUAGCGGUGAAAUGCGCAGAUAUCAGGAGGAGCACCGGUGGCGAAGGCGGAUCUCUGGGCCGUAACUGACGCUGAGGAGCGAAAGCAUGGGGAGCGAACAGG
rnacentral:rRNA from 1 species